CACCUACAAUUAAAACCGUCUAGACAGGUACGAAUACUUUCUUCCCCAAAAGCCCGCAAUUUUAACAUCAUUUUCACUUUACUUUGCUGGCCACAGCCAGAGAUUUGCUUCUGAAACCUUUUCUCUUUCACUUUUAGAGAUGAUGAUACUCCAAUUUGGUGCCUCUAUUGGCUACAACAUGAUGGCAACUUCAACCCUGCACCACUUCUGAAGAAGUGUUCAGAUUAACGAAGACAAAUUCAGAAUGAAGACUGCAACAAACAUUAUCAAUUCAGAAACCAAUCAGAACAAGCUAGAAGUCAAAGUCAAUAGUGAAAUGGCAUGGUGCGAACUUCUUCGCACUGUUGCCUAGCUUGCGCCCUCCCAACUUAUGUCACUGUCUUUUUUGCAUGGCAUAAAUCUUUAUUUUCUCGGAUGCCAUGACAACUUAUGUCAAGUUUCUUUUCCUUUGUUUUGUUAAGCAUGUAUGUGUUAUCCUCGGCUCCUUGGGUCCAAGACACUUGAAGUGGCUCUGAUGCCACAUGUGUCUUUUCAUCUGUAUGACUUCUUAGCAUAGUUAGGAAUAAGUUUGAUUGAUGCUGUUGUGUUUUGUGGAGAAGCGUGGUCCCGCUUGUGAGCAGGAGCACACAAUCCACAUUCACCUUUUGUAUGGAUUAUGUCAAUAUGAAUGAAUGCAAGCAGUGGUCUCUAAAGUUAGUCUGUCUUUCUUACAUUGUAAGCA